CCCCCUCGUCCCGUACCGCUUGGGCCCGACACCUGAUCGCCGCCAGGCAGGACACUUGGGAACUUACAAAAAUGAAAAAACUUCCAAAGGCAGGAAAUCGACACAAGCUUCAUUUAUUACUGCUAUAAGUGUUGGGAUGAAAGUCUCGUCCAGAAUGACUUACGAGAUGCAAAAAGUGGGAAAAACAGAGAAGGAAUGCAAACCUUAACAGCCCGCCAGCAUCUGUUGUCAAGCUCCGCGUUUACACCACUGGCCACUGCUCUACUGCUACGUGUGAGAUGUUUUAUUUAAUUCCCCGAUGUGUCACUCGGUUGAAGGAGACACGGCGGUUGCGGUGAACCUCCCCCCCCAACCCCUGAACCCUUGCAAUCGAAGAUCGGCCCCAGUUACUGGAAACCGACUCCUGUCCAGCUCCUACAAAAUGUGACGGGACCCUGAAGCAGCGGAGGUGUUAAACAGAGUCCAUUUGGAAAUCACUGCCCAUAAUGAAAUGGAGUAUGCACUAUUUAUAGAGAAGUGGCAGCUUUGGCUGCACUGCAGACCCUCUUCCCGGUGCCCGGCAGUAAAAUUGAAUGUUUAUACUUCUGGCAACACUUUAGUUUAAGGUCAUAAACUAUUAAUAUAUCAUUAAAGAUCAUCUGAUAAUAUAUUAAAAGAUAGAAAGAUUCAUUCACAAACAAAUUUAGAAAUGUAUUACAACCAAAUCUUGCUCCUCUUUUACAAGGUAAUUAUGAAAACACCUGCUAAUCACUUGCAAGUAUAAAACAAUGUUUUAGGAAGCAAAUUCAGAAAUUAGUUUUACGAGCUCCUUAGUAAACGUUCUUUGUAAUGCAUUAUAAAUGUGAUUAUAGGUUAAUCUUUUUAUCUAUGAUUAUAUUAUAGUAUAGUAACACUUUAUUAAUAGCUAAGGUGCAGAUGUUUUGCCGACUUCCCAAAAAUAAUCCCAAAUCUGCUGGCACUUGUCAGCUUUGAAAUUUUAAUUGAUAUUUUUCCAAUAAGUGAACAUUUAGGACAGAGAAAAAUACAGGAAUAACACCUUACUAGCCAGUGACAGAGCCUGUGUAAUGUGUGUUAGAUGC